AAUAAUGACGAAACUCUUCUCAGUCACAAUCCUCUUCAUACUUUCAAUCGUCUCGGUCGCCCUGAUCUCCUUUUGCGAUGCUCAGGGGGGCAAAUCCGUGUUGAAAGAUGUGCGGAAACCGUUGAAACUUCAAAAAACGGUGUUAACGCAUCUCACUUUCUACUGGCACGAGUCGUUCGUCGGCCCCAAUGCGUCCGCUGUCAUUAUAGCCGGAGUUAAUUCCACAGACUCAGCUAUAAGAGCAUUCGGUACUACGUAUGCUUACGACAAUCCUCUGACGAUAGAGCCUAUAGUCCCUACAACAACGAGUGAGGUUGUCGGUAGAGCACAAGGAUAUUACACCAUGUAUCCAAGUGACGAUGAGAUAGCAAUCGGUGUGAUAAUGAACGUCGUUUUGAAGGAGGAGAUGUUUGCCGAUAGUAUUUUGACGUUCGAAGGGAGGAUUUUAUCUGGUACCGGUUUUGUAAGAGAGGUUCCGGUGAUCGGAGGAAGUGGUGUGUUUAGGUAUGCUACUGGAUAUUAUCAGUCUCAAAUGCUUUCUGCUGAUCCAAUCACUCGUCAAAAUGUCGUUAUGUUCGAUAUCUACGUUAAUAUGCUUUCGAAGUAAUUAUAUCUAUGCUUAAUUAUGUAUCUACUAUCUAUAAUUAUAUAAAGAUGUGAAAACCCUAUAUAUACAAAUAAAGGGUUUGAGUGUAAUAUUUUUACUUCUCAAAUACAAUAUUUUUUUUAAAGCAAUUAAAUUUCAUUAAAAAAUAAAGUAAAUGCCCAGUUUACAACAAAAUAUAGUAUAGAAAUAAAAACAGAAGUAAAAAGAAAUGAGGAAGAAGCUUAUUGACUCUCUUUCAUUAGCUAUGUAGUAUAGUUAUAUAGUAACUAAAUAUGAUGCCUCAGGAGGUUGGUCUCUCAUACUUCUAUCAUAGAUAUCUCCAAAGGGCGACAACAACUCUUUUUGUAAUACACUGAAUCAAAGGAGAGACUGAUGUUUUUAAUAACCUCGAUCCUUAAGGCCGGACUACCUCAGGAGGCUUAUUAAUGUGUUGUCUAUAUCUUUUAUUUCUAUCCAUCAAAUAAAACAUGAUUAUGAGAUUAAUUACGCCUCUUUCCCUACCUAAUUAAUCUCUAAUUAAUUUGAACAUCUUUGAAUUGGACAGAAAGAGAUUUUUCAACUGGUCACAAUAACUAUUUAGGUUUAUGAAGGUUCAAGGUUCUAUUCUCGCUGUGUAUGUAAUUUUUAUUUAAUUUCCACUACGAUAUAACCAGUGAUAUAUUAUGUAACUAUGAUAUAUAUAUCACCGGAAAGUAGGUAUCCUCUGUUAUCAAAAAAAAAUUUCCGAGUUGAAAGAGACGUAUUAAUUAAGAAAUACCCUAAUCCCUAAUUAAAAAAAGUUUAACCUUGCUAAUUAUUUGAUCAAUCGACACAGAGAGAUUAACUCACCUAAUUAGCCACAGUAACUAUUAAGGUUUGAGUCUCGUGGUAUAUCAUAAAUUUGUAUUCCAAUGGAAUUUAAAUUAAGACAUAGGUUAACUUAGAGUAAUUAAAUACUGCCAAUAGUUGAGUUGCACAUGUUUGAUUAAUUGGUUUCUGUUUUAAUCUUGUGAUUAACCUGUAGGGAAACGACUGGUACUGUUAUUACUGUUUAUAAGUCAAGUCAUUAAUUAUAUAUAAUUCUUUAUUAGAAUUUGGUACUGCUAUCACUGUUUGCAGAGAUGAUUAGAUCUGAGUUGCUGUUAUAGAUGAUGAUCUGAAUUCAUAAUUUCCAGAAGUUCUUGACAAGUUGCAGUCCAGAACUGCUAUUACAUACAAUAUUCACAAGUUGAUGUCCAGAAUUGUUAUUACAAUGUUCAGAAUAUUACAAUAUCACUUUAACAACGUUAUUGGUAUGAUUCUAUUGCAGUUCUAUUGAAAAGACAACAUAUAAAUUGUAGGAUAAAAUUGAAAAAAGAUAAUUAUACAUGAGAUAGCAUAAAAUUUUUAUUUUGGCUGCUUUUAGAUUUCAAUCAAUUUAUAUAAAAUACUUGAAUCUCGAAAAUGACUAAAUGAAUGGUCACAUAUAAAGUUGGGUUAUAAAUUAAUUGCGCAUAGAAAAAAUUGCACAAGAUACAAAAAUAUUUCACUUUCAUUGACUAUAGUGGUAUCAUGUGGUUAACAAUUAAGCUAAUUAAGCCGCCCACGAGAUCGAUGGUUUGCAAUUUCAAAAGUAGGAUGAACUAAGCAAAACUAACGAGCUAAGCAACCUAGCACUUUAAUCUUCUAUAAAUACAAACAUAUGGGAAACAAGUACCAGCAGUCAAUCCAAUAAUGGCGAAACUCUUCUCAGUCACAAUCCUCUUCAUACUUUCAAUCGCCUCGGUCGUCCUGAUCUCCUUUUGCGAUGCUCAGGGGGGCAAAUCCGUGUUGAAAGAUGUGCGGAAACCGUUGAAACUUCAAGAAACGGUGUUAACGCACCUCACUUUCUACUGGCACGAGUCGUUCGUCGGCCCCAAUGCGUCCGCUGUCAUUAUAGCCGGAGUUAAUUCCACCGACUCAGCUAUAAGAGCAUUCGGUACUACGUAUGCUUACGACAAUCCUCUGACGAUAGAGCCUAUAGUCCCUACAACAACGAGUGAGGUUGUCGGUAGAGCACAAGGAUAUUACACCAUGUAUCCAGGUGACGACGAGAUAGCAAUCGGUGUGAUAAU
rnacentral:lncRNA from 1 species